AAAGAUGGUGAAAUUGUUCACUGGUUACUAUCAUAGACAGAACAAACUCAACCUUAACUAACCUUAAGGCUCAGUUUUACGUCUUUCCUCCAAACUGCCAGCUCCCCACACCAAGUGGUGCAGCAGCAGGUUCUGUCAAACAGCACAUGUUCCUGCAUGGGGUGACUGUCAGCUCAAGACUUCAAACUUGCUUGAAAAUUCUCAGCAUUGUCAUUCCUGUGACUGACCUCUUACAAAGGAAGUAAGAGAAAAGAACAUAAGGCUAUCCAGCUAAGCAGUGGUCUUUUUACUGUCAUUUUUCAUCCUCCAUGCCUUGUUCAUGUGUCUAGCAGUACCUGCUCUAGUUUAC
rnacentral:lncRNA from 1 species